rnacentral:tRNA from 1 species
GGAGAGAUGCCUGAGUGGUCUAAAGGAACGGUUUGCUAAAUCGUCGUAGGGGUAACCCUACCGAGGGUUCGAAUCCCUCUCUCUCCG